rnacentral:lncRNA from 1 species
GAGACAAGAGGGUCAAAGUCAAAAAAAGGAGACCAUAUGACAAUGGAAGCAGAGGGAAGCAGAGUCAGAGAGAGAAGAUGCUAUGCUGUGGCUUGGAAGAUGGUGGAAGGAGCCACCAGCCAAAGACUGAGGGCAGCCACUAGAAGAUGGAAAAGGCAAGGAAUAGAUUCUUUCCUGAAACCUUCAGAAGAAAUGCAGCACUACUGACACCUUGAUUUUAGACUUCUGACCUCCAGCACUGUAAGAGAGUGAAUUUGUGCUGUUUUAAGCCACUAAGUUUAUUUGUUACAGCAGCAAUGGGAAUCUAAUACAGUGGGCAUAUGGAAUUUAUUUGGCUUUUUUUCUACUUUUGUGAAAUUUUCUUUAAUAAAAAGUUUUUUGAAAAAUAAAAGAAAACCAGCAUUGAAAAAGUAAAUGUAAUAUGGGUUGAUAUACAGUGGAGCAAGUCCUCCUUUAUUGUUUUUUAAAUUAUUUUUUGCUGUUCUUCCACAUUUUACCUCCUGAAUACAUUUUUAAUUGGCUUGCCAAAUUUCUGUAAAAAAAAGAUCAUGAAGAUUAGCCCUGAGCUAACAUCUGCUGCCAAUCCUCCUCUUUUUGCUGAGGAAAACCGGCCCUGAGCUAACAUCUGUGCCCAUCUUCCUCUACUUUAUAUGUGGGACGCCUGCCGCAGCAUAGCUUGCCAAGCAGUGCCAUGUCCACAUCCAGGAUCUGACGAACCCGGGCCGCCAAAGCAGAACAUGCGAACUUAAUCAUUGCGCCACCGGGCUGGCCCUUGGCCUCCCUUUCAAGACACAUUCUCCGCUAUAGCCUUACUACCAUAAUAUAGCUGACUAAAUGAUGGAGCUGGAUGGAGCUGAAUGGAGCUGAAGAACACAAGCAGAAUUGAUCCCAGGCAUUCCGAAGCCUGCCCUGGAGACUAACAAAACAAAACGAAACAAAAUAAGUGAAGGGGAAGGAGUGGAGGCUGGUGGAAGAAGUGGCAACAUUUAGACCUUAAUACUCAUGUGACCUCAUUGCCUGGACUUGUGAAGCCUGAGGGGAGGAGAGUUCCUAGCUGCUGGCGAAUCUAUUUAGUAGGUGAGUAAAGGAGAAAGGAUGAGCCUGCCUUGGGCACUGGAGCAAACAGGUACAGAAGAUGUGCAAUCAGAUCCAGCAAAAACAUUGGAAAACUUGGAACCAUCUCAGGUUGAGCUGCUUUUCUCCUAACUGAAGAGAGGGUACGUCUGAGAGUCAGGCAAGGGAGAGCCACAGCUGUGGACAGGGGCCAACGAGGAACUAGAGUCUGAGUCUUCGGUGAGGUGGCCUCAGAGAAGAUAAGAAUCAGGUCCAGAAAUGAGAGUUCUGCCUCGCAGGACAAGCGAAACAUAUCUUGAGCUUUCUGUCUUUGUAUUCUUUGAUAAAAUCCUUCAGACAAGAAGAGUAUUAAAACACAAAUCAGAGGACUUGGAUCUAGUCCCAGUUCUGUCACUAACAACACUAGCUGAUACAGCAGAAGAUAAUUUGACCCCAAGCAAGUUUAUAGGAUGCAAGUUGGCCAACCCAACAAGUUGGUUAAAAUAUCUAUUUGUUCCAGAAAUCAUAUAUCUAAUCACUGAUUUUUCAAUAAUUGAUCAUUCUGGUGCCUUGCAGUAUUGUUUUGCAAUAUUUUAAAUCUUUAGAUGCUUUUGCAUUUUUCAGCAUUCAGAGGUUUAUUUUCCAGUAAAUAAAUCAUAAGCCCUACAUUAUUCAAUUCAUCCUUGUCUAGAAAAUAUCAUUGAGGCAUAAGCUUAAGGCAUUGGUUAACAAUUCUUAAUGAAGAACCUUGAAAGAAUAGGUGACUGCCAUUUGCUUUGAGAAGACCAGCCCCAAAUUGGUUAUUAAAAUUUGUUCCCCAGGGGCCGGCCCUGUGGCUGAGUGGUUGAAGUUCUGCAUGCUCUGCUUCAGUGGCUUGGGUCUGUGGGUUCGGAUCCCGGGCAUGGAACUACUCCAUUCAUCAGCCAUGCUGUGGCAGCAUCCCACAUACAAAAUAGAGGAAGAUUGGCACAUGUGUUAGCUCAGGGGUAAUCUUCCUCAAGCAAAAAAAGAGGAAGAUUGGCAGCAGAUGUUAGCUCAGGGUGAAUCUUCAUCACUAAAAAAAAAAAAAUAUAUAUUGUUCCACAGAAUUCUCAGUACCCUAGAUAAACCCAUGUGUCUCCCUGGGUUCCCUGCCUCCUCUGGUAAGGGUCAAGAGAAUUCCCAAGAACCCUGUGGAUUUGAAUGGAGUAGGAGUGCCCCUCCCCAGCCUCCACACUUUCAACUGCAGCAGAGAAGAUGGGAUUCUAGAGCUCUCUUUCUGGCGAGAUCCCCACUGCUCCAUACCAUCUGACACACCCCCAUUAUCUACCCUUCCACCAUUAAGACCAAUCUUAUUAUGCCUUUAGCCUUGUUCUAUCAGUCUCCACAAGAAGCCCCAACACCUAGGUUACCCCUCAUUCAGGUACACCUCAGCACUUAGCACUUCUAAUUCCAUCUCCUCUUUCCCCAAACUCUGAGCCUCUGGACAGGCAGUAAAAUCCUCUGUAUCCUCAAACUCUCCUCUUAAUGGUUUCUUUCUUAUUCUAAGUGAAUCUUAUUUCUCCCCUGAAGUCACUGCUUCUCCUGCAUCUUUCUCAUGGACAUCAAGAGCCUAUUUUGGAAGUAAUAAUCCCAAACAUCCUGGAGGCAACGGAUGCAUUAGGGCCUGCCAGUAAUUGUUUGAAUUUCUUUGAGAACGUGUGAAAAAAAAUAAGCAAAAACAUAUUUUUCAGUAAUUUCUAUCACAGCUGAGUGAAAAAAAAAGAUGUUAAGGAGUAUAAGUAGUAUACCAUCAUUUGGGGAGGAGGAGAAGAAAAGAAUACAUACAUGAAUACUUAUAUACACAUAGAAAUGUCCUAGGGAGUCACAAAAAACUUCUAACCACAGUUGAGCCUCAGAAG